rnacentral:rRNA from 1 species
UACGUAGGGUGCAAGCGUUAUCCGGAAUUACUGGGCGUAAAGAGUGCGUAGGCGGUUUUUUAAGUUAGAUGUUAAAUAUAUGGGCUCAACUCAUAUGCUGCAUCUAAUACUGGAAGACUUGAGAGUGGAAGAGGCAGAUGGAAUUCACAGUGGAGCGGUAGAAUGCGUAGAUAUUGUGAGGAACACCAAUGGCGAAGGCAGUCUGCUGGGCCACUUCUGACGCUGAGGCACGAAAGCGUGGGGAGCGAUCGGG